GACGAACGCUGGCGGCGUGCUUAACACAUGCAAGUCGAACGGAAAGGCCCUGCUUUUGUGUGGUGCUCGAGUGGCGAACGGGUGAGUAACACGUGAGUAACCUGCCCUUGACUUUGGGAUAACUUCAGGAAACUGGGGCUAAUACCGGAUAGGAGCUCCUGCUGCAUGGUGGGGGUUGGAAAGUUUCGGCGGUUGGGGAUGGACUCGCGGCUUAUCAGCUUGUUGGUGGGGUAGUGGCUUACCAAGGCUUUGACGGGUAGCCGGCCUGAGAGGGUGACCGGCCACAUUGGGACUGAGAUACGGCCCAGACUCCUACGGGAGGCAGCAGUGGGGAAUAUUGCACAAUGGGCGGAAGCCUAAUGCAGCAACGCCGCGUGCGGGAUGACGGCCUUCGGGUUGUAAACCGCUUUCGCCUGUGACGAAGCGUGAGUGACGGUAAUGGGUAAAGAAGCACCGGCUAACUACGUG
rnacentral:rRNA from 1 species